GGGGGGUCGGAGAUGGGGGCAAGGCCUGAAAAGUUCAGCUGCUUUAGAUCAACAGUGCCAGAGAAUCACUGGUUGAAGUGACUGAAAGCUCUGACCUGGGGCUGUCCAAAAUCCUCUUCCUCAGAUGGGAACAUGCCAAAAGCUCAGCCUCUGAGGUGAAUGUUGUGGCGCUAACCUCUCUCUGCUCUGUACCUCACAGGAUUCCAGCUGGCUGUUCCAAUCCAGGAGGAAAACUGUGCCACUGAAGUCUCCCAGCGCCUGUGCAGUGAAGUGCCACUUAACCCCACUGUGAUGCACAGACCUUGCCCUGGCUGUCUGCACAGGGCUGAAUUUCACCCCUUCAGAGUGUAUUCUAAGGGACCCCGUGUGUCAUAUGGGCAUUCUUGGGAGUGCAGAUUGCAUCAGACCUGCACCUGAAUAAAUAAUAGGGACUGAAAUAUGCAGACACUAAAGUUCUGCAGCCAAAUUCUCAGAAACCUUCCUCUGCAAUGUAGGAUCAGGAUUUUGGUUUGAAUUGAUUUUUUUUUUUAAGUGCUGAGCAGAUGCUACCCUGUAAGAAGAGAAAACAGAAGCAAAAACUGAAAAACGGUUGCUAAAACCAAUGAACAGCUGCAGAGAGUGGAGACCCGGGAAAGCAAACAAAUGAAUACUGAAAAGGAUCCCCAAAGGAGGUGUAAGGAUCCGGGACUCUGGUGUCUGCCAGAAGCUUCAGCCACCUUCACAGGUUGGAGCUCGCCGUCCAUUGCGGAGGUGAAGACCGGAUGGGAGCUGCUGGAUUGACCUUGAUGUGCCAUGUCCUUGUGUGGAUGAAGGACCUACAUCUCAGGGAUGGCCAGUAGUAGAUGUAACACCUGUCUGGGAAUGGGCUAAAUAACCUACAUUGAGAGGGAGGAGCCUAAAUUAAGUUUCCCUAAAUCCAUAAUUGGAAUAGUGAAGGAAAGCCUCCCUAGAAGCCAAGCAGCUCGGAAAGAAUGGGAUGAUGACAAUACAGUAGAACUCUGCUUACCUGACCCUCCAUUAUCCGGUUCUCUGUGUUAACCCAACAACCAGUGCACACAGGUACAGAAGUGAGCAAUCCCUCCUAUGGUCAGUAGAUGGCGAUGCAGCUUGGCACUUUCCCAGUCAUCUGAUUAUCCAACAUUUUGGUUGACCAAUCCGGCCCUGGUCCCCAAUUCGAUGGGAUAAAUGGGGUUCACCUCUCCUUGUGAGCGAUCAUUUGACGCAGGGGAUCUGUUGCUGGUGUUACUCC